CUGUCCAGCACUGCUGCGGCGCGAUGAAGUGGAUGUGGGUGUCUACCCCACCCGCCGUGAGGAUAUGCCCCUCGCCCGCCACGAUCUCGGUGCUCGCCCCGAUGGUCAGCCCUGGGCUCACGCCGUCCUGGGUACCCGGGUUGCCGGCCUUGCCAAUGGCGGUGAUGCGCCCGUCCUUGACGCCCACAUCGGCCUUGAUGAUGCCCCAGUGGUCCAGGAUCACCGCGUUGGUGAUCACCAGAUCGGGUACGUUCGGGUCUGAGCGACUGGCCGUGCUGCUUUGACCCAG
rnacentral:sRNA from 1 species